rnacentral:rRNA from 1 species
GAUGAACGCUGGCGGCGUGCCUAAUACAUGCAAGUCGAACGAACAGACGACGUCCUUUCUCCUGGGACUGUAUCGGCGGACGAGUGAGUAACACGUGGAGAACCUACCUAUAACACUUUGUGGACUUCGGCAAGCCGGAGUUAAUACCAGAGGAUAUAUUGAACCUGAUGCUUCAUUGGUGAGAGACGGUUUUUGUGUCGCUUGUGGAUGGGUCCGCGCCGCAUUAGCUUGUUGGUGAGGUAACGGCUUACCAAGGCGGCGACGCGUAGCCGCCCUGAGAGGGGGGUCGGCCACACUGGAAGGAAGACAAGGCCCAGACUACUACGGGAGGCAGCAGUAGGGAAUCUUACGCAAUGGGCGACAGCAUGAUGGAGCAACGCCGCGUGGGUGGUGAUGGUCUCCGGAUCGUAAAACUCUGUUAUCAGGAAAGAACAAAUGUGUCAGCAAUUAUACACGUCUUGACGGUACCUAGUCAGAAAGCGCCGGCUAACUACGUG